AUCAUCUGUUUCUCUCCUUCACCACUCUCCCCGGUCAACCCAUCAAGCACAUGACGGCGGGGAUCCAUCUCUGCCCGUGGCGCUCCUCUGGUACAAACGCCAUCCCGGCAGCGGCCGACCCGCCCCUGUCCCCUGCUCACCCGCCCCUGCCGCAGGGGCCGCGCCCGCCUCUGCCCUGCCGCCGCUGGUUACCUCCCCUCCUCCGCCGCCCCUUCCAUUGUCAUUGCUGGCCUCCGAAAAACCCUGCUUCGUCCGUUGAUGCGCGCAGAUUGAAGACAAGGAGAGGAGGCUACUGCAUCCAGUGGUGGCCUAUGCUGGUGGGCGAAAUCAGACCGGCCGUUGGGUCUCUUCUGGAAGGAGGCUCUGCAAGACUGCAAUGGUGGCUUUUUUUUUGGCAGUUGACAUAUACCGCGGCAAUGGUGGCCUUUUUUUGGGCAAGAUAGCCUCCUGCAUCUGUGGAGGAAAUUCUGCUCCUUUCCGUAGGUGAUGGAUAUGCAGGCAACAAAGUCAAACUUUUAAAUACCGCAGCGGAAUCUCUGGAGUUCAAGGUUCUGUACUGUUCUUCUGUAUUUUUCUUUCUUGCUUAAUUUUUUGAGCAAAUCUUUCUUUCUUAUAUACACAACAGGUAAUAUGAACCACACACACAACCCACUAUCAGGCCCACUGCAGCCCGGUGCUCCCAUCAGCCCACACUAUUUAUCUUCCCCGGUUGCCAUCAAUGGCCGAUGGAACAACCUGCCUCUUUUGUUUCUCAAUUUUUUUAAAAUAAAUCUAUAGCCUCUGUUGCAGUAAUUACCCAGUAAUUGACGUUUGGUGCUCCCUCUCCUAAUAAUAUCUAAGAUGGCGCUCCACUUCCUCUCCCCACGUUCUCCCCAAGUAACUGACAGAUUUUUGCUUAAAAUCUGUGUUCUGCCUCACCAUAUUUCCCAUCGUCCUCCAGCUUGGGUAGGUGUUCAAGUCGCCUUCCCCAAUGCCAAUCUCCAAUCUGGUAUCCCUCGGUGCAAAGGUGCUAAAAGUCCUGUCAGCAGGGGCUAUUAGUUUUUCGUUGCUGCAAAGUUGAUGAUUUUUCACUGUUGCACAGAACUCUUGCUGAUCGAAUUGAUCCCAUCUGCUGUCUCGGUGCAAAUAUGCUGGAGGAUUUCCACCGACCACAAGGAUCUAGAACGAUUUGAUAUCUAUGCAGCAAUUGAUUAUUAAGAAGAUGCUCCGCAGCAUAUGUACAAACAUAUACAACAUUCUCUGUGUGAGGACAAUCCUUCAGCUCUGAUCGCCGGCCCGCUGGCCUCCGGUGGCUCUCCAGCUCCCACACGACCGCCAGCCCGCAUUACCUUCGAUGGCUUUACGGGAUAUCUCAUGAUGUAGUCGCAUUACCGGUGAACCGGCUCUGACCGUCAGCCCCCUUGCUUCAAUGACUCUCCCGGUCUGGCAUGUCUGCUGGUGCACCUUGCCCAUGGUGCUGCUUUGUCUUUCUUAUACUCUCCUAAUGUCUCAGUUCGGGCGCAGCUGGGAGGUUUGGUUCUGCCGGGAGUCCCGAGCUAGCUUUACUGAAUCACAACUGAUGUAACAUGCACACUAUGCACUUGCCUUACUUGAAACAUCUCAUGUCAAUCCAUUGUGCAGCGUGGAUGACUGUUUUAUAUGCAGAUUUAUUUUCUUUAUUGCAUAUGUAUGCAUCAUACAUAAUUAUGUAGAUCAUGAAGGGCCAUCAAGCAAACAUUUAUGUUUUGUGUCCGUA